rnacentral:rRNA from 1 species
GACGAACGCUGGCGGCGUGCUUAACACAUGCAAGUCGAGCGGUAAGGCCCUUUCGGGGGUACACGAGCGGCGAACGGGUGAGUAACACGUGGGUGACCUGCCCUCAGCUCUGGGAUAAGCCUGGGAAACCGGGUCUAAUAUCGGAUAUGACUCCAUGACGCAUGUUGUGGGGUGGAAAGCCUUGUGCGGCUGAGGAUGGGCCCGCGGCCUAUCAGCUUGUUGGUGGGGGAUGGCCUACCAAGGCGACGACGGGUAGCCGGCCUGAGAGGGCGACCGGCCACACUGGGACUGAGACACGGCCCAGACU